rnacentral:tRNA from 1 species
GCUGGUAUAGUUUAGUGGUUAGAAUCCACGGUUGUGGUCCGUGGGACUCGGGUUCAAUUCUCGGUGCCGGCC